CAUCAUGUGGUCUAGUGGCUAGGAUUCCUGACUUUCACCCAGGCGGCCCGGGUUCAAUUCCCAGCAUGAGAA
rnacentral:tRNA from 1 species